rnacentral:rRNA from 1 species
GUGGCUCGAAAGAGAACCGUAACACAGGUGCUGCAUGGCUGUCGUCAGCUCGUGUCGUGGGAUGUUCGGUUAAGUCCGCUAACGAGCGCAACCCUCACUGUGUGUUAUAUGUGUCACACGGGACUGCCGGUUUUAAAGCCGGAGGAAGGCGGGGAUGACGUCAAGUCAGCAUGGCCUUUAUAUCCUGGGCUACACACACGCUACAAUGGCCGGUACAGUAGGUAGCGAAGCCGCGAGGUGGAGCCAAUCCACAAAGCCGGUCUCAGUUCAGAUUGCAGGCUGCAACCCGCCUGCAUGAAGAUGGAGUUGCUAGUAACCGCAGGUCAGCUAUACUGCGGUGAAUACGUUCCCGGGGCGUU